UACGGGGGGGGCAAGCGUUGUUCGGAAUUACUGGGCGUAAAGGGCUCGUAGGCGGCCAACUAAGUCAGACGUGAAAUCCCUCGGCUUAACCGGGGAACUGCGUCUGAUACUGGAUGGCUUGAGUUUGGGAGAGGGAUGCGGAAUUCCAGGUGUAGCGGUGAAAUGCGUAGAUAUCUGGAGGUACACCGGUGGCGAAGGCGGCAUCCUGGACCAACACUGACGCUGAGGAGCGAAAGCCAGGGGAGCAAACGGG
rnacentral:rRNA from 1 species